GAAUGCUUAACACAUGCAAGUCGAACGGUAACGAUGGUAGCUUGCUACCAGGCGACGAGUGGCGGACGGGUGAGUACAACUUAGGAAUCUGCCCAGUAGUGGGGGACAACUCGAGGAAACUCGAGCUAAUACCGCAUACGCCCUUCGGGGGAAAGUGGGGGAUCUUCGGACCUCACGCUAUUGGAUGAGCCUAAGCCGGAUUAGCUUGUUGGUGGGGUAAAGGCCUACCAAGGCGACGAUCCGUAGCUGGUCUGAGAGGACGAUC
rnacentral:rRNA from 1 species